GCAAGCGUUGUUCGGAAUUACUGGGCGUAAAGGGCUCGUAGGCGGCCAACUAAGUCAGACGUGAAAUCCCCAGGCUCAACCUGGGAACUGCGUCUGAUACUGGAUGGCUUGAAUUCGGGAGAGGGAUGCAGAAUUCCAGGUGUAGCGGUGAAAUGCGUAGAUAUCUGGAGGAAUACCGGUGGCGAAGGCGGCAUCCUGGACCGACAUUGACGCUGAUGAACGAAAGCCAGGGGAGCAAACGGG
rnacentral:rRNA from 1 species